rnacentral:snRNA from 1 species
AAACCUUCACGGCCUGGUCGCUAAGAUCAAGUGUUAGUAUCUGUUGUAAUCAGUGUGAAAACUGAUUAACGCUCAUUUGAGUGUCAUUUUCACACCUUUUUUUGAAAUCGCCGGGUAGGCACUGCUUGCAGUGUUCCGGCUGGAUCUCCUUGGCACUCAACUACAGCCUGUAUUUGUGAGGUCCGUCCCCU